AGGGCAACAGCGCAGAUCGUCAGCUAAGGUCCCUAAAAGUAAGUUAAGUGGUAAAGGAGGUGGGCUUGCACAGACAACCAGGAUGUUGGCUUAGAAGCAGCCACUCAUUCAAAGAGUGCGUAAUAGAGCGCUGGUCGAGUGAUCCUGCGCCGAAGAUUUCCGGGGCUAGAAGUUACUACCGAGGCUACGGAAUCAGUAAUG
rnacentral:rRNA from 1 species